CUCUUCUCUGCUGCCGUCUGAGGUGCGCGUUUCACCUUCCGCCGUGAUUGUGAGGCCUCCCCAGCCACGUGGAACUGUGAGUCCAUUAAACCUCUUUCUUUUGUAAAUUGCCCCGUCUGAGGUAUGUCUUUAUGAGCAGCGUGAAAAUGGACUGACACGCAGACUCUCUGCAGAGUCCCGAGACGGCACGGAGGAUCACACGGGGAGGGGUCGAGUGUGCUAACUCAGGUCUCUCUUCCUCUUCUAAUAAAUCCACCCGUCCCGCUCCUGCGCUAACCCAUUAAUCCAUUAAUCUGUGAAUGGAUUCAUCUAUUCACGAGGGCACUGCCCUCCUGACCCGAUCACCUCUUAAAGGCCAACUCUCAAUCCUGCCACACUGGGAAUUAAGUUUCAACAUGAGUUUCGGAGGAGAUAAACAUUCAAAUCAUAGCCGAAAUCCAAAGAGAUUUGAGGAGCAGAAGUUGAUUCAAAGGUUAGCAAAGGCCCAUAUUGAUUGUUUCAGAGAAUAAUCAAUCAGAAAGUUAAGCAACGCAUCGCCAGAGCUGUGAGGAACAGACGAAGAAUUUCAAAAAGGCUUUAGGAUGAUAAAGACGCCUGGGCAGCUUUCUAAUGCUGUAUGCAAUGCCGUCCUGCAAACGUGUUUGGAUCUGCCUGCCGUCAAGACUCACCACUUCCCACCUGUACACUGCUGUCUGUCCUCAUUUCAAGUGAAUCACCUUGCGGUCUUCUUAUGCCAGCAGGUUCAGAGCUCAUGCCAGACGCUGUGGAAGGAUUGUUUUUUGACUCUCUAAUACUGUGGAAGAAAAAGAGAUCUUCCAGAUAUCAGAGUUCUCCUGACAGCUGAAGAAGUGAUGGAUGAGCUGGGGUCUCAAUUCAUCAGAACAUCAAGCAGGAAGAGCAGCCCUCCAACCCCCCACCAGUUCAGAAAUGGAGACAUCGAGGAGUCCUGAGCACAGGCAGGAGAGACUAUGAAGUUAUCGUAGACUCGAUGUCCACAAGUGCCGGUGAGAAUGACUGUGCAGAGACCAUCUGAGCUCCCUGCAGAUCUCACGACUCUUUUCCUCCUCCCCUUGCUCCCGGGUGCUUUGUCUCUCACACUCGGCCCCUGUGGAGCUGUUCUGCCUAUGCAAGCAGAAAUUGAGAGGUGCCUGGGGUUCCUGUCCCCCCAGCCAGCUCUUAGCCAAUGGCGAGCAGAUUCCAGAAAGUGAAAGCCCCGCUCCCUUUGCCUGAGUCUGGACAGACCCUGGGGCAUAACUUACGCUGCAGUGCCUUCCUGCAGGAUUGGGCCAAAGCCACCCCAGGGGGAUUUUGCCAAAGGACCUUACUCUGGCUUGGCUCCUGGGUCCCCUCCUCCUACUCCCUUCCAGACCUCCCGGGACCACGGCAUUCCUACGUGGCUUGCACACAAUUCCUUACCACAGAGUUUGCUUCUGGGGAACCUGACCUAAAACCGAGGGGAAAAUGGAUUCUAGCAUUUUUCAGAUUCAGAAACGGGAGACCCAAAUGGCCCGGGCCUCCCGCCUCCCGCACACAGGCCUGUGUAUCAAGUUUCUGCAAGCACAAGCAAGAGGCUUGCAACGUGUUUGCAAGCAGUCAUCAUCAUUUCCAGGAUUGGCUAUGACUCGGGUUGCAAUGUUUUAUUUCAGUUCACAGACAGACACAGGCCACACUCCAGGGCUCAUGCCCACAUCCGUAGCUUGGAACUCGAGAUGCACUGUCUAGGAUGGCCAACAUCAGGACGGCACCCACCAGCAGACAAGCCUGUUCCCAGAAUAGCCUUCUUUUUUAUUUUUUUGAGACAGGGUCUGGCUUUGUGGCCCAGGCUGGAGUGCAGUGGUGCAAUCAUAGCUCACUGCAGCCUUGACCUCCUGGGCUCAAGUGAUCCUCCCACCUCAGCCCCCCAGCCCCAGUAGCUGGGACCACAGGCAUGCACCACCACGCCUGGCUAAUUUUUUUUUUUUUUUUUUUUUUUUUUUUUUUUUUGUAGAGACCAGGUUUCACCAUGUUGCCCAGGCGGGUCUCAAACUCCUGGACUCACGUUAUUCACCCGCCUCGGCUUCCUGAAGUUCUGGCAUUACAGACAUGAGCCACUACACCCAACCAGAAAAACCUUCUUAACCCAUGUGUUUCUGAACCUUGAUUUUGUUUUAUUUUAAUUUUUUAUUUUUGAGACAGAGUCUCACUCUGUCACCCAGGCUGGAGUAUAGUGGCAUGAUCUUGUCUCACUAUAACCUCCACCUCCCAGGUUCAAGUGAUUCUCCUGCCUCGGGCUUCUGAGUGGCUGGGACUACAGGUGCCUGCCACCACACCCGGCUAAUUUUUGCAUUUUAGUAGAGACUACGUUUCACUGUGUUGGCCAGGAUGGUCUCGAACUCCUGACCUCAGGUGAUCCACUCGCCUCGGCCUCCCAAAGUGUUGGAAUUACAGGCGUGAGCCACUGCGCCAGCCUGAACCUUGAUUUUAAAUAAACUAAUCUAAGUUCCAGUGGUCUUCCCUUAGUUUGAAGCGGAAGAUAGAUUUUCUUCUCCUGGAAUCAAGUCUGCUAUGCAGUAGAGCAGGUGGAAGCUCUGGGAGCUCAAAGACCUGGGAAGGUCUGGGAGCUCAAAGACCUGGGAGCUCUGCCACUCACUAACCACGCGCCCUGGGAUAGGCCACUGGCCCUCUCUGCCCUCCAAAUGUCCCAUCUGUGCAAUGGACACAAGAACGCCAACCUCUCAGGACUAGAGUGAGAAUUGUCCAAUAAUAUUAGGCCAGGUAUGGUGGCUCACAACUGUAAUCCCAGCACUUUGGGAGGCCUAGGUGGGUGGAUCAUUUGAGGUCAGAAGUUUAAGACCAGCCUGGCCAGUAUGGUGAGACCCCAUGUCUACUGAAAAUACAAAAAUUAGCCAGAUGUGGUGGCACUCACUUGUAGUCCCAGCUACUUGGGAGGCUGAAGCAGGAGAAUCGCUUGAAUCUGGGAGGCGGAGGUUGCAGUGAGCUGAAAUUGGGCCACUGCACUGCAGCCUGGGUGACAGAGCGAGACUCUGUCUCAAAAAUAAUAAAAGUAAUAAUAUUAUUAUUACUAAAUGCAACUGGGCACGGUGGCUCACACCUGUCACCCCAACACUUGGUUGAGGGCUCCACCAGGAGGAUCGCUUGAGGCCAGGAGUUCGAGAGCAGCCUAGGCAGCAUAACAAGACCCUGUCUCUACAGAAAAAAAAAAAAUUGUAAUUAGCUGGGCAUGGUGGCACAUGCCUGUGGUGGCAACUAGUCAGGUGGCUGAGAUGGAGGACCGCUUGAGCCCAGGAGGUGGAGGCUGCAGUAAGCUAUAAUCACACCACUGCACUCCAGCCUGGGCAACAGAAUGAGACUUUGUCUCAAAAAAAAAAAAAAACAAUAGAGAUGCAUUGCUUCACAGUUCCAGAGGCUAGACGCCUGAAACCAAGGUGUUGGCAGGGCCCUGCUCACCCUGACCCUGUAGGAGAGGACCUUCCUGGCCUUGGCGCGUGGCUGCAUGACUCCAACCUCUGCCUCUCUUAUCACAUGGCCUCUUGUCUUUUCUCUGUACAUCUUGUAUGGACAUCAGUCAUGAUGGAUUAAAGGUUCACCUCCCUCUAGGGGGACUUCAUCUUAACCAAUGACAACUGCAACAACUCCAUUUGCAAAUAAGGUCCCAAUCACAGAUUCUGGGGGC
rnacentral:lncRNA from 1 species